rnacentral:lncRNA from 1 species
UGAAGAUAUGCUUUCGGUGGAAUCUGCUUUAGAAAUUACCUUGGAGCACCAUGAUGAUAAAUCAUUUUUGGAUUCUAAUAUUGACCAAUCUGAUACAGCUAUUAAUCCUGAUCAUGAUUGCCAUCAACCUACCCAUGAUUCUGUUGCUUCUGAUACUGCUAUUGAUCCUGAUCAUGAUUGCCAUCAACUUACUCAUGAUUCUGUUGCUUCUGAUGCAGCUAUUGAUCCUGAUCAUGACUGCCAUCAACCUACUCAUGGUAUCAGUGCUUCUGAUACCUUUAGUACCGCAAUGUUUCAAAAUGAAGAAUUGAAGUCUGUUAAUGAAAUUGACUUAGA